AUUGAACGCUGGCGGCAUGCCUUACACAUGCAAGUCGAACGGUAACGGGCCUUCGGGUGCCGACGAGUGGCGAACGGGUGAGUAAUGCAUCGGAACGUACCUUUCAGUGGGGGAUAACGUAGCGAAAGUUACGCUACUACCGCAUAUUCUGUGAGCAGGAAAGCAGGGGAUCGCAAGACCUUGCGCUGAUUGAGCGGCCGAUGUCAGAUUAGCUAGUUGGUGAGGUAAAGGCUCACCAAGGCGACGAUCUGUAGCGGGUCUGAGAGGAUGAUCCGCCACACUGGAACUGAGACACGGUCCAGACUCCUACGGGAGGCAGCAGUGGGGAAUUUUGGACAAUGGGGGCAACCCUGAUCCAGCCAUGCCGCGUGAGUGAAGAAGGCCUUCGGGUUGUAAAGCUCUUUCGGCCGGGAAGAAAUCGUAUGGGCUAAUACCCUGUGCGGAUGACGGUACCGGCAUAAGAAGCACCGGCUAACUACGUGCCAGCAGCCGCGGUAA
rnacentral:rRNA from 1 species